UACAGGCAGCCACCUGCGCCCGUGUCUCUUCGGUGGACCCCUGCCCAUUCGUGUUCUCUCUCCCACCUCCACCAGUGGAGUGCUGUCACAUUCCCCCUCUCUCUCCUCUAGCCCUGUGCCAUCUUCCGUCUCUCUCUUUCUCUCUCUCUCUCUCUCUCUCUCUCUCCUACAGACUGUUGCUACAUCCCCUCUUUCCCUCUUAGCUGCAGGCUGCUGCCACAACCCACGCCGACUUUUUCACUCUUCCUCCUAUCCUGGGAUGGAGGCGAUGUAUUUAUCCUACACGUGCCGACGAAACUCCGACUGGGACGUUAGCACGGCUCUCCCCACCAUCCCCGCCAAGGAGCCCGGAGGACACAAACGGAGCUCAGCUCUUUGCCGCGAUGUGAGGACAGACGUUUGGACCUUGGGAGAGAGGACAAAGAGCGACACAAGCGAGGGUGUGGCCGUCCCACCGCUGGGACGCAUCUCUCCUCCUGCACAGCUACCCAGGAGGUGACGUCGGUGUCCACUUGGCUUCUGCCCCGCUUCAGAGCCUCAGCUCCUAGUACCUAGCCCGGGUCACGGCACUGCCCCUCCGCUCUGGCUGGGGUAGCCAGGUGCCUGCUUCCUUUGGAUGGUGGAAGAUGGGACCUUCCCCAGAGCUUAAGCUUUGGAGACUCACCAAGCACCUGCUAUGCAAAGCUCACAGCUCCUUCAAGGCCAGCUGCUCCCAAGAGGCAUCGCUGCAGGAGAUGCCAGAGUCAUCUUCCAGCAGGGGUCCCUGCUCUUUGGAAGCUCCCAUCUCCUCCAGUCCCACCCCAGCCGGCAUUACAAGAGAGGACAAUGGAAAGGUACCUUCUCCAGCAAGGUGGGUCUUGCUCUUCUCAGGCACACGGGUCCGUGUCACUUUGUAGCGGGAUUUUACAGGUUACCCGGCGCUGGGACCCAAGGUGAGAAUUCCACUGAACGGCUGCAGCCUUUUAAACGCUAGACAGCGAUUGUCUCUCCACCGCACCGGCCUUCGGGGAAGCGUCUGACACGCAGCGAGGGGUUCGCUGGUUUGAAUACGUUUCUAAUUAAAUGUGGAAAUGAUCAAACGG